rnacentral:rRNA from 1 species
UACGUAGGUGGCAAGCGUUAUCCGGAAUUAUUGGGCGUAAAGCGCGCGCAGGUGGUUUCUUAAGUCUGAUGUGAAAGCCCACGGCUCAACCGUGGAGGGUCAUUGGAAACUGGGAGACUUGAGUGCAGAGGAGGAAAGUGGAAUUCCAUGUGUAGCGGUGAAAUGCGUAGAGAUAUGGAGGAACACCAGUGGCGAAGGCGACUUUCUGGUCUGUAACUGACACUGAGGCGCGAAAGCGUGGGGAGCAAACAGG